ACUUCUACGGGAGGCAGCAGUAGGGAAUCUUGCACAAUGGAGGAAACUCUGAUGCAGCGAUGCCGCGUGAGUGAAGAAGGCCUUUGGGUUGUAAAGCUCUUUCGUCGGGGAAGAAAAUGACUGUACCCGAAUAAGAAGGUCCGGCUAACUUCGUGCCAGCAGCCGCGGUAAUACGAAGGGACCUAGCGUAGUUCGGAAUUACUGGGCUUAAAGAGUUCGUAGGUGGUUAAAAAAGUUGGUGGUGAAAUCCCAGAGCUUAACUCUGGAACUGCCAUCAAAACUUUUUAGCUAGAGUAUGAUAGAGGAAAGCAGAAUUUCUAGUGUAGAGGUGAAAUUCGUAGAUAUUAGAAAGAAUACCAAUUGCGAAGGCAGCUUUCUGGAUCAUUACUGACACUGAGGAACGAAAGCAUGGGUAGCGAAGAGGAUUAGAUACCCUCGUAGUCCAUGCUGUAAACGAUGUGUGUUAGACGUUGGAAAUUUAUUUUCAGUGUCGCAGCGAAAGCGAUAAACACACCGCCUGGGGAGUACGACCGCAAGGUUAAAACUCAAAUGAAUUGACGGGGACCCGCACAAGUAGUGGAGCAUGUGGUUUAAUUCGAAGAUACGCGCAGAACCUUACCAACACUUGACAUGUUCGUCGCGACUCUAAGAGAUUAGAGUUUUCGGUUCGGCCGGACGAAACACAGGUGCUGCAUGGCUGUCGUCAGCUCGUGUCGUGAGAUGUUGGGUUAAGUCCCGCAACGAGCGCAACCCUCACUUUUAGUUGCCAUCAUUUAGUUGGGCACUCUGAAAGAACUGCCAGUGAUAAGCUGGAGGAAGGUGGGGAUGACGUCAAGUCCUCAUGGCCCUUACGUGUUGGGCUACACACGUGCUACAAUGGCAUUUACAAUAGGAAGCAAGACGGCGACGUCGAGCAAAUCCUAAAAAUAUG
rnacentral:rRNA from 1 species